GUAUCGUAUCGUAUUGCAUCAUAUCGUAUCGUAUAGUGUAUAGUAUAUAAGUCUCGUAUAGAGGCCUAUACGGGUGUUAUUGUUUAGUAUCGUAUCGUAUCGUAUAGUGUAGUAUAAGUCUCGUAUAGGUUUCCUAUAGGUCUUGUAUAUGCAUAUAGGAUUAGACGGGACUUAAACCACACCUAUACGAUACUACGAUAUCACACUUAUAGGCUUAUACGAGGUUAAUACGUGACCUAAACCACACCUAUACGAUACGAUAUCACACUUAUAGGCUUAUACGAGGUCAAUACGUGACCUAUACGACGCUAUACGAUACGAUAUCACACUUAUAGGCUUAUACGAGGUCAAUACGUGACCUAUACUACGUUAUAUGAUACGAUAUCACACUUAUAGGGUUAUACGAGGUCAAUACGGGAACUAAAUCACACCUAUAUACCUAUACGGGUGUUAUAUCGUAUCGUAUAGUAUCGUAUCGGGUGUUAUUUUCCGUUUUUU
rnacentral:lncRNA from 1 species